GGUAGUGGAGUGGACCCGUGGCUAUCACUGGAGCGUGCCACGUGGAGUCUGCCGUGCGAAGUGGGGUGGCGUUUGUUGUCGUGACUUGCCAGCGGAUGGGGGAAUUGCGCGGUAUCCGUUGCAGGAGGUGGAACAGGAUCAUGGCCAUUUAUCGUGGCCUGUCAGGUAGUAAUGGAGCCGCGUGGGAUCCAUCGUAGGGAGUGGAGCAGUGCUGCGAUCGUUACUGUGGCCUG
rnacentral:lncRNA from 1 species